rfam:Schistosoma curassoni strain Dakar, Senegal genome assembly, scaffold: SCTD_scaffold0007831
AUCCGGCUGGUGAGUCACAACUAAGACGAAACGAGCGUCCUGGAU